UGGGGAAUUUUGGACAAUGGGGGAAACCCUGAUCCAGCCAUCCCGCGUGUGCGAUGAAGGCCCUCGGGUUGUAAAGCACUUCUGGCAGGAAAGAAACGUCAUGGGUUAUUACCCCGUGAAACUGACGGUACCUGCAGAAUAAGCUCCGGCUAACUACGUGCCAGCAGCCGCGCUAAUACGUAGGGUGCAAGCGUUAAUCGGAAUUACUGGGCGUAAAGCGUGCGCAGGCGGUUCGGAAAGAAAGAGGUGAAAUCCCAGAGCUCAACUUUGGAACUGCAUUUUUAACUACCGGGCUAGAGUGUGUCAGAGGGAGGUGGAAUUCCGCGUGUAGCAGGGAAAUGCGUAGAUAUGCGGAGGAACACCGAUGGCGAAGGCAGCCUCCUGAGAUAACAAUGACGCUCAUGCACGAAAGCGUGGGGAGCAAACAGG
rnacentral:rRNA from 1 species